CACAAAAGUAAUUUCUUUCGUCAUUCACACGUACGAUCAUUUGAAGAUACGAAGCUCAACAAAGUAUUUCUAUGACUACAGCAUGCAAAAGUUGUGCUGCACUGGCAAGAAACAGACGUCAACCCAUCUUGUUGUACAUGAUUUCAGUGAAAGAUACCACAGAUAAAUAGGGAGAGAAAGAAAAACUGAAUCAAGCGAGAAUUUUUAUUUUCUACGUCAGGACGUGAGCAUUCGCCUGUUAUAUGUGUUAUAUAAUUUUUUCACUGAAAAUUACCCGAAAAUGACGUGGGUACUACGAAAGUCUCCAAUUAUGUUUUAAUGGCAUUUUAA